GAUAAUUUUGUGAUCGGGUUUAUAAAAAGGCCCCACUAUCUAGCAAUAAUUUGCUAUCUAUUUUUAGUAGUUUGUUUUUCCAGAUAACGUGUAAGAUACAGCCUGUUGUAAAUGCAAACUGCCAGGGCAGUAAUGCGGAACUCCAGUCCCGGAGGGCUGUAGUGUAGCCUAUUCAGCACUGAUGCCAGACCUGAAGCCAGUAAGGUUGUGGAACAUCCCUGGUUCUAGAAUCUCCCACCAAUGUGCUGGUAGCAUUUUAGCCUAGUAGAUGAGGCGCUUGCUGCACUUCCAGACUGCUUGGGACACCUGGUGGCCCUGCACGACGCUACGCGGCUUUACAUUUCUCUCACUUGUAUCUGCAUUAAAAUAAUUGCAAUGUACUUUAGAUUAGUCACCGAGUUGGAGUGUAAAGCAAAUUAAGGGGAAAUGGACAAGGGGCACUAAAGAGAACCGAUUUCAGUUUUAUGCUGGAUUGGAACCUAAUGCAAAAAUCACCAGCAUAAUUGACUGAAUGAAAAUCCGUAAUCAAGUCUCUAUCGAGUUGGAAGAGAAAAUGGCCAAAUUGCCUGUACACAAAUCAAUCAAUGCUUAAUCCUGUUUAAAAUGGCAACUCAAGUAUUGUGAGCUGAUGGGUUCGUCUUAAUGUGUAAAUGUCUGUACAAUAAACUUUUAAAACCUC